GAGACGCGAAAUCACCGUACUACCGUACAAGUCAGAAGCUUUUUUAUUGUUACGCAUUCCCACUAAUGCAUACGUACAAUGAGCUUUAGACCAACACUGCUAUGGGUAAUGUAUGAAAAAUGCGGUUGCAGAAUCGGACGGGAAUUUGAUUCUCGUACCCGGUGGCGCACUUAUGUUUUGAUGGCGAUUGCACUGGUACGGUCGCACUGCACACAUGCCUGUCAGCAAUGUCCAGCUGCGACCUCUGACCCGAUAUCCCUGCUUUACUCUAUGUAUCCCGGCCUCUACUUCCAGGCCUCUACUCCCGGCCUCUACUUUCGGACAAUAAUACUUGUGUAGUGUCCACUUUAUCAUAAGUACGCUGACUUUCAUUUCGUUCCCUCCUACAGAUCCAUAACGGUCAUGCUAAUAUGUGUCGGUUGGCUUCAUGAAGAAGCAACGACCUUGGGGAGGGGAACGCGCUUGUUUCUCAGUGAUUUUCAAAUUCGCUAUCCUUCCAUCCGUGUGGCAUGCCUGCAAGCAAUCGCCCGCCAAGAUCUUCUGGGCCCUGUGUAAACACGCCAAAAACGCAACCCUUUGCUCCUCUUUCCCCCCGCUCCCCACUAUACCAGGUGCACAGGCCUUAUACACAACCCAUGCCCGCUUGGAUGAGUGGCGAAGUCUGAACCCUUCGAUGCUUGUUGUUGCUGCAUUAUUAAUGUCGGUCACAUUUCCUGUGCCCAAAAACUUGGCGAUGGUUUAGCUUUGUCCGUGUUUAACAGAAGGUACCAUAUGGUCGUGCAAAUAAGCAAUUGUAUCAUUGCGCACGCACCAAGCUCUUCACUGAUGUAUUGUUAUCAUAAUAUGCCGGGCUAAAACAAUCCGAUGUACAAUUGGGAAAGCUCUGCACCCAAGCCACAAAUUGGCCCCCUUUUGGCCCGUGCUCACCGUCAUCUGUAGCCCAGCUUGCCUGCAGCUGGUGUUGACCAUACUCUUCCAUGAUUAUGCUAUGUGUGCCAUCAUGUUGUAAGCUUUCUUUGCCUUCCAUGCUUCGUCCAUAAGAGUCCCUGCCGCUCUGUGCGACUCCUGUGUCUUUAGGUAGCAUAGUUCUCGUUUGCUUACCUUUGCUAAACCCCAGAAUCGAGGCGCCCAACUCAACGACGCAGCAACAUAAUAGGCAUCAGGACGCCAACAUGCAUCGCCAAACCACACCCUCCACGCAGCAAAGGCGAAGCAAACGUACCCAGUACCGUACACUGGUAACGCCUACCACCUAUACGCCAGCAAGGGACUCCCCACUCGCCCGCGACACCACGAUGAGGCAGACAGCCUGCAACCUGGACGAUCCAUCACAUACACAAGCGGAGAACAAUCUGAUUCGAGUGAAUACCGGCAACAAAAACAGACAAGUCGGGUGUCGGCUUCCUCGAAGCCAGAAAAAAGGCGGGGGCCCCCUGCCUCCGUACAGGCUGGUAGCUAGGGUAGUGUCAACGUGGUGGGAGCUGUGCUUGUUGCAGCAGUGCUGAUGCUGUGGGGCUAUGCUUGUCAGAGCGCGGGAGGCAGGAAGCCGGGGCUGAUAACCUGUUGAAGAGACGGUGUCCCUCUGGAACCUAACAGACACGGCUAAGAGUCAUUGGCCGUUACACGCAGUCGCAGUCUGGAGGUCCGCGACCUACCACCGACAGCCUCUUGAUUGGGUGUAAACGUAUGAGUCUGAGGUGCCGUUACCGGCACACAGCAGGGGCUCGGUCGCCAAGUCCGCGGUCCAGGCCGGAUGCUCAACGCUCAGCAGACACAAUCGCAGCCUGCCAGCCUUCAGCCUGUUGGCUUUGCGGUCUAGUGCCGCAGCCAUAACACACACGGAAAACAGCGCCGUACAGCAGAGGGGUGCAAAGUGGUCCUAAUCCUCUAAUCCAGGGGUUGGGUACCGGUCAGCAAUCCUCUAAUCUCAACAGGGGUGGACCACUUCUAAUCCCUAAUCCAGAGUGGUGGUCUAAUCCAUAUCCUAGGGUCGGGGUUCUAAUCCUAAUCCUGUGGCCGGGUCCCAAUCCCAAUCCGAGGGGGGGGGUCCCAAUCCUAAUCCUGGGGCCGGACGGCAAUCCUAACCCUGAGGCUGGGGUCCCAAUCCUAAUCCUGUUGGUCGUGUCGUAAUCCUUAACGUGGAGCUGUAUUGCAAUCGUACUCCUGUGACUGGUUCGGUAACCUUAAUUUUGGCUGGGGGACCCAAUCCUUAUCUAAGGAUGCCGUGACACG
rnacentral:lncRNA from 1 species